CUUAAAAUUAAAUUGAAAAGGCCCAACCAAUCAUACUCUCAUUCCCGUCGCCUCUCUCACUCUCAAUCCCAUCUCACAAAAUUCAACUUUCAACCCAAAAAAUCUCUAAAUCAAAGAAAACCCUAUAUCAGAAUCCCCAAAAUCGAAAUUCCAUCUCCCUUCUUCUCCCCGCGAUUUCUACUUCCGACGGGUUGCCGGAGCUUCGCCGGCAUUUUCCCCUCUGCGAAUUCUCCUUCCGGCGAGCUCCCUCUCAAAUUCCAAUCGGAACUCUCGAGUCGAAGUAGCGUCUGGAAAUGAACCCUAGAUCGAGGCGAACUCGGCGGCGCCUCUCCCUUCGCCGUCCGUCGGUCACCGCCGCCGCCAAGCUGGCUGUCCGUUUGAAACACCGCGGCCCGCUGCCGCUGCCUCUGGUCCCUUCGUUGCUGGUGUCCCACCGUGGGGCAAGGAGAUGAAGCUUCGUCUCUCUCUCUCUGCACCCACAGCUUCGCUCCGCCCGCACCGCUGGCCCUCCGUCGAGCUGCGAUUCCGCUCGCUGCAAUCCCAGCCGGCGUCGCCUGGAUGCGCCGCCAAGGUAGCCACCGUCCACCAAUCGGCCCUAAAGCUAAGUCUCUGAACUCUCAUUAUCUAGCCCGCAUCUAUCCCGUUGAUUAGGUGUACAACGGGUGAAGCUUGGUAUUUGGGAUGAUAGCUAUUCACAAAACAUGGAAAGCAAAGCCUGAGGACAAGCUAUGAUUUUUCGUUCUGUUUGGGGGGUUGCUCUUGCUUGGUGGCUUAUAUCCUAAUUUAAGAUACAUAGUACUGUUGUUGCCUACAAAUUAUCAUGUUGCCUGCUGUUAUGGUGUUGAGAAAAUGGUUGUGUGUGUGUUCACAUGGAUGAAAAGGAAUGAUAAGGAGAGUUGUGAUGAUUUACAUGUUGUGGUGAAGGGCUAAAAGGAAGGAAAGUGUUCUACCGUUCUUGCUUGCUCACUGCCCUUUUCCCUAUUGUUUAUUUAAAGUUAUUGAUGAAGUGAAAAACAUAAUCAUUUUUUAUGUAAUUGUAAAAAUAGUGAUGAUAAUAAUAAUCUCUGGUUUUAAAUUAAUUAAUCCAAUCAAAUAUAUGUCUAAAUUAAACCUAUGAUGCAUUGCUUGAUUGAUUUGCUUAUUAUGUUAUAGGCAAUAGUUGAGGUCAAUUAAAUAACUAAAUCUGACUAGAUGAAAAAUCGAACUUUUUUUAACUAAGAGGGAGUAUUGGAGCUUGAUAAAGGGCUGUUGGAAAUAGAUGCAAGAGUGGUCAAGCUUGAGGAAGAGCCUCUGGAAAUAGAGGAACACAUUGUUGGUGCGAAGAUGAAGUUAACCAAGGAUUCUAGUGCGGAUGAGAAUGCAAUAAGGAGCUUCUAAGAGAAAACCUAAGUGAUAGAUAAAUUGUAUAGUCAUUUAGAACCUUUUUUGUACCUUUUUAUUUAAUAUUGUAUACGAUUACAUGAAAACUAUUACAUAAGUUAUUUAUAUAAAAAUAUGUUUUGUAUUUGAAGUCA